GUCAUCUCAAAAGAGUGAUAUAAUGAAAUUCUUACAUUAGGGUGAAUCAUACGAAAUAGUGAUACAAAUGUUUUCUUUUCAAGUUCAAAAGUAUCGUAUCCGUUUGUCAAGAAAAAUGACAUUAGCAAGUUCACAUAAUGAAUCAAAGAAUGGAAAAGAUCCUCCUCAACAAAAUCAUGAAGAAACAGUGCAAGAAUCUACACCAUCUGGAUUAUCAGAUUUACAAAUGCAAAGUACAGAAGUUGGUGAAAUCACAGAAAUGCCAAAUUUUGAAAUAUUAAACACAUCUGCAGUACUUCAUUAUUGUAAACACAAAAUAUUAAAACCAUAUUUGACAUUAUUAGGAAUAAUGGGUUUAAAACCAAUGAGUAGUGAUGAUUCACAACGAUGCUCUUGUUAUUGUAUUUUUGCAAAUCUUCAUACUUUGCAGGUCACAAUAUUUAUGUGCAUUGGAUAUAUUUUACAAUAUAUGGCAUGUUUUAGGAGAGAUAGAGGCUUUUGUUAUAAAACAAUGCCUUUGAAAUUUCAAAUGACAUCCAUCAAUAAGCAACAUUCAGAAAAAGUUAUUUGCUAUGGAAAUGUUAUAUUUAGUUAUCUAGUUCCCAGUAUUUUACAUUUAAUUGCAUACUUAUAUACUAUAUAUCUAUUUCGAAUUAAAGAAAAUGAACAAUUACAAAAUUUAAUGGAAAGAGCAUUUCUUUUAUCAUCUAAUCCUGCAAAUCGUGGAAAUCAGAGAAAACUUGUAUGGAUACUGUGGUUAUUUAUAGCAUUGAGUCUUGUAUGGAUAAUUAUGGCAUUAAUUACAGUAAAUGUCUUAAUAGCCCAAGAAAGCAUUAUAUUUCAAUGGUUAGAAUACAGUCCAAAUCAAGUAAAAAUAAUAUUGAAGAUACUUUUAAUUGUCUGUACAUUAUGGCAUGAUAUGGUUCAAGGAACAAUUAUUACAAGCUAUUGUUUGCAAGGGCAACUUUUACUAGCACAUUUAUAUUUUCUUCGUGGAAAAUUACUUUAUCAUACUUUAUCUCCUAUUGAUUGGAUGAGGGAAAUUAGUGAAUUUAAAAAAUUAUUGAAAUAUUUCAAUGAUGAAUUAGGAUUAGCAGUAUGUAUUUAUACAAUUGUAAAUUUAUCAUGGGCAGCCACUAGUAUUGUUUGGUUGCUUCAGUAUGAUAAUAGCGAUAUGCCAAAUAAUCAUGUCACUUGGAUUGGUAUAAUAAAUGUAAUUCUUUGGAUUUUAAUAUCAAUAGCUCCCUUUAUUCAGGCAGCUCGUUUAACUGCUGCUUGUUCUAUGAUUCAAAGUAUCGGACACGAAGUACGAAUUAGACCAUUCGUAUAUCAAAGCACUCCGGGUGAAGACCUUGAUACUAUACUUUUGUAUACAUCGUCAUUGAAAAUGUGCGCCAAACUCUUCAGAGUACCAAUUACGGGUAGAAGAGAAAAUUAAUAAAUUUCUUCAAGAUGACAAUGCAAAGGAAUACAAAUUUCCACCAAUGGAUCAAAUUUAUAGGAGUAUAAUACAUGAUGUUGCUGAAGUAGCAAAUAUAUGGGCAUAUUCAUUUGGUGAAGAAGGCAUUGACCGUCAUAUUGUGAUUUUUAAAAGGGAACAUGCUCCAUCUGAAGAUCAGUUAAAUGCACUUCGUAGAGGAGAAGAAUGGAAC